rnacentral:tRNA from 1 species
GAGGGGUGGCCGAGCGGUCAAAGGCAGCAGACUGUAAAUCUGCCGGCGUAAGCCUACGUGGGUUCGAAUCCUACCCCCUCC